GACGAACGCUGGCGGCGUGCCUAAUACAUGCAAGUCGAGCGGACGAUUCGAAAGCUUGCUUUUGAAUCGUUAGCGGCGGACGGGUGAGUAACACGUGGGCAACCUGCCCUGUAGACGGGGAUAACACCGAGAAAUCGGUGCUAAUACCGGAUAACACGAAAUGUCGCAUGACGUUUCGUUGAAAGGCGGCGCAAGCUGCCGCUACAGGAUGGGCCCGCGGCGCAUUAGCUAGUUGGUGAGGUAACGGCUCACCAAGGCGACGAUGCGUAACCGACCUGAGAGGGUGAUCGGCCACACUGGGACUGAGACACGGCCCAGACUCCUACGGGAGGCAGCAGUAGGGAAUCUUCCGCAAUGGACGAAAGUCUGACGGAGCAACGCCGCGUGAGCGAAGAAGGCCUUCGGGUCGUAAAGCUCUGUUGUUAGGGAAGAACAAGUAACGUAGUAACUGACGUUACUAUGACGGUACCUAACGAGAAAGCCACGGCUAACUACGU
rnacentral:rRNA from 1 species